CAAUUUUACCUACACACUAGAGACUUUGCUGGAGACAACUGGAAGGCUCACUUCGAGUAGAUCCAAUACUUCUAAUCAGUAACUAAAAUGUAUUCAUAGAUUUGAAAGACUAUAAGGCAUGAAUUUAACUGCCUUCAUAUAUUUUCCGUGCUUGACGCAAAGGUGAUACAUUUUUCAUGUCAGCAAAGCUCCUUGGAGUAGCGUAUGCUCUGGGGAGGUAAUUAAGGAAGAUCAAUAUGUACAAUUGAUUGAAUUUUGACUUAUCCACUUGCACGAUGUACUAUGCCUGACCAUUGCAUUUCCCUGUGUUAUUGAGAGGUAGAGCGCAGAUUAGUACCUCGAGCCGACAAGAGAGUCUGCGUGUGAACAUCACAGGAUCUUGCGUCACUUUUAAUGAAACGAGGUGAGGCUUUUCCCAGAGUACCAAGGCAAAGACUUUACCUCCGUGCUCGUACCCCCUCGCUCCAAGUACCACUUCUGUGGAUCUCCCGGGAGCAGCCGUUUCUGCUCGACAGAAGCCUGGGAAGGCCGGUCCGAAAGGCGAACAGGGAGCCGUAGUCCUGUAGGGAAGGGGGCUCAUCGCUGCGCUCCAUUAAUAAGAGUGAAAACUGCUGCAUGGGAGCCUUCGAAAAGCAACAUGCACCUUCUACAAGGUUACGUCGGAGUGAAAUAAACCACUGGAGUUAUCCCA
rnacentral:lncRNA from 1 species